AACGACUCUCGGCAACGGAUAUCUCGGCUCUCGCAUCGAUGAAGAACGUAGCGAAAUGCGAUACUUGGUGUGAAUUGCAGAAUCCCGUGAACCAUCGAGUCUUUGAACGCAAGUUGCGCCCUAAGCCGUUAGGCCGAGGGCACGUCUGCCUGGGUGUCACGC
rnacentral:rRNA from 1 species